rnacentral:rRNA from 1 species
GAUGAACGCUGGCGGCGUGCCUAAUACAUGCAAGUCGAGCGAACAGAUGAGGAGCUUGCUCCUCUGACGUUAGCGGCGGACGGGUGAGUAACACGUGGAUAACCUACCUAUAAGACUGGGAUAACUUCGGGAAACCGGAGCUAAUACCGGAUAAUAUAUUGAACCGCAUGGUUCAAUAGUGAAAGACGGUUUUGCUGUCACUUAUAGAUGGAUCCGCGCCGCAUUAGCUAGUUGGUAAGGUAACGGCUUACCAAGGCAACGAUGCGUAGCCGACCUGAGAGGGUGAUCGGCCAAACUGGAACUGAGACACGGUCCAGACUCCUACGGGAGGCAGCAGUAGGGAAUCUUCCGCAAAGGGCGAAAGCCUGACGGAGCAACGCCGCGUGAGGGAUGAAGGUCUUCGGAUCGUAAAACUCUGUUAUUAGGGAAGAACAAAUGUGUAAGUAACUAUGCACGUCUUGACGGUACCUAAUCAGAAAGCCACGGCUAACUACGUG